CGGUAAUUCCAGCUCCAAUAGCGUAUACUAAAGUUGUUGCAGUUAAAAAGCUCGUAGUUGGAUUUCUGCGGGGACGGAGCGGCCGGACGCAACUUGCGUCUCGAGCUAGCGCUUUCCCCGCAUCCUGCCGCGAACCGUGCUACCAUUAGUUUGGUGGCGCUGGGGAUCGGCUCGAUUACUUUGAGAAAAAUAGAGUGUUCAAAGCAGGCCACACGCCUUGAAUAAGUUAGCAUGGAAUAAUGACUAAGGACUUUGGUUCUUUUCGUUGGUGUUCGGGACUGAAGUAAUGAUUGAUAGGGACAGUUGGGGCGGUCCGUAUUCCAAAGCGAGAGGUGAAAUUCUUAGACCUUCGGAAGACGAACAGCUGCGAAAGCGUUCCGCAAGGAUGUUCCCUUUGAUCAAGAACGAAAGUUGGGGGAUCGAAGACGAUCAGAUACCGUCGUAGUCUCAACUAUAAACUAUACCAGCUAGGGAUCGGCCAACGUUUAAUUAUUCGACUUGGUCGGCACCUUAUGAGAAAUCAAAGCAUCUGGGUUCCGGGGGGAGUAUGGUCGCAAGGCUGAAACUUAAAGGAAUUGACGGAAGGGCACCACCAGGCGUGGAGCCUGUGGCUUAAUUUGACUCAACACGGGAAAAUUUACCAGGUCCAGACAUAGGAAGGAUUGACAGAUUGAUAGCUCUUUCUUGAUUCUGUGGGUGGUGGUGCAUGGCCGUUUUUAGUCGGUGAAGUGAUUUGUCUGCUUAAUUGCGUUAACGGACGAGACCCCAGCCUGCUAAAUAGCGCGGCCGAGCUUUGCUCGGUACGAGCUUCUUAGAGGGACCAUGAUGCGCGAUAGCACAAGGAAGUUUGGGGCAACAACAGGUCUGUGAUGCCCUUAGAUGUUCUGGUCCGCACACGGGCUACACUGGCGCCUGCAACGAGCAUAUCAGCUGGCCCGAGAGGGUCUUGGCUAAUCUUUGGAACCGGCGCCGUGCUUGGGAUUGACCAUUGCAAUUGUUGGUCAUGCAACGAGGAAUGCCUUGUAAACGCGAGUCAUCAGCUCGCAUUGAAUACGUCCCUGCCCUUUGUACACACCGCCCGUCGCUCCUACCGAUGAAUGUUCCGAUGAAAUUUUCGGAGAGCGCCGGAGAACGGGGCUCUGCCCUGCAGAACUGGAGGCUCAAAGUCACUUAAAUCUGAACAUUUCGAGGAAGGAGAAGUCGUAACAAGGUAACC
rnacentral:rRNA from 1 species